ACGCUCGACACCUACGGAGGCAGCAGUCGGGAAUAUUGCGCAAUGGAGGAAACUCUGACGCAGUGACGCCGCGUAUAGGAAGAAGGUUUUCGGAUUGUAAACUAUUGUCGUUAGGGAAGAGAAAGGACAGUACCUAAGGAGGAAGCUCCGGCUAACUACGUGUCAGCAACCGCGGUAAUCUGAGGCGGCUGGACGAAGGC
rnacentral:rRNA from 1 species